CCAGUCUUAUUUCAUGCAAUGUUUGCCUCACUCGUUCAGGUGGAGGAGGGACUCCGGGGCGAGUCCGGAAAGAGGUGACCAGUUUGAGCGAGGGCGUUGUGUGCUCUGGCCUGUCUGAUUUCUUCAGAUUUCCUGUCUCUAGGCCAUAUUUACAAUAUCUCUCAUAAACACCUCAAACAACUUAGUGAAGAAACCGCAGGCCAUGUUGCCAACAAGGCAACCUAGCUCUUAAGGCAGUUUGAGGCCGUGGUUUGUUGUGUCACAAAUUCCAAAUGUGACUGUUCCGGUUGUCCAACCUCUGCCAGCUCUCCGCUUUCAGAUCAGCCCUCUGAAUCUAUAACCGUCCCCUUUGUUCCGGGACAGUUAGGAGACAAUGCAACCUUUGUUAUCCCAUCAGAGGAGACCCUUUCUACACAACACCUACAGGGUAACAGCACUACACCUGGGUCUCAUAUGAAAAGAGAAAAAGAAAAGGGGAAGUACAGGAACACGGAAACCUCUAAGAUCUCAGAACCACCCAGACUGUCACUCUUCAGUGGAAUGGAGUUAGUCAACAGAAGCAAACCUGUAUGUUUGGUUGAGCCUGUUCCUGUCGAGUCAGAUGCCCAGAUAAGUGUAGAAGCCACUACAGGCACAGACUGUGUAAUUGAGAAAAGCUGUGAGAGAACUGCAGGCUCACACACAUCUAGUGAGCAAGUGUCUGUAUUCUCCUUCCUCAAUCUCUGAUGCCAACAUUCAUUUACGGUUAUGUGCUGAUUUGGGGGAAAAUAACUUUUUUCUUCUAAUAAUGAUAUAAUAAUUGCUGCAACUGACCAUGUUUACAUGCACAUGAAAAUGUUAGUCUUCGGUAACCUGAAUACCUGAUUAAAGCGAUAUUCUGACUUAUGCUUGCGUUAAUCGUAAUUUUGAGUCACGUAAACAACUUAUUAGGAAGAUCAACUGUUUGUUUAUAUCUGUGCAUGUCUAGAUGUGUGUAGUUAUGAGUGAACAAUGCUGGAGCAAAUGGGAGCC
ensembl:lncRNA